rnacentral:rRNA from 1 species
UACGUAGGAUGCGAGCGUUGUCCGGAAUUAUUGGGCGCAAAGCGAACGUAGGCGGCCUGGUAAGUUUGGUCUUAAAGACCGGGGCCCAACCCCGGGAAUGGAUCGAAUACUGUCAGGCUGGAGUACGCUAGAGGAUGGUGGAAUUCCAAGUGUAGCGGUGAAAUGCGUAGAUAUUUGGAGGAACACCGGUGGCGAAAGCGACCAUCUGGGGCGUUACUGACGCUGAGGUUCGAAAGCUCGGGGAGCAAACAGGAUUAGAAACCCGGG